rnacentral:lncRNA from 1 species
CAAAUGAAGAAAAUUGAUAUUAAAAUACAGAGGAAUAUUUUUCAGCCAUAAAAUGAAGGAAAUUGUGUCAUUUGAGCCAACAUGGAUGAGGACAUUAUGCUAAGUGAAAUAAGCCAGACACGGAAAGAAAACGACCAGGUGAUCUCAAUUACACGUGGAAUCUAAAUAUGUUGACUUCAUAGCGCUGCCUAUCAGAAGGAAGUGAAGAUUCUUCCAAGGUCCCUUCUUCACAAGCCAAUUUGAUUCAAAAGAUUCUGAGGGUGUUUCUGGAAGGUAUUUUAAAGGUGCCCAAGAAAUGAGAAGAAAGAACAAAGGCCAAGUCCAUUGGUCAAUUUGUACAAAAUAACUUGAGGCCUGGCCAGGUGUCCAUCCAGUUGAAUCAUCUGUCAUGUGGUUUCCAGGUCUGGAGGCCGGAAGUACAAAGUCAGUAUCACCAGGCUGUAAGCAGGAUGUCAACUGUACAACACACCCUCCAGAGACUUCGGGUGGGAUCGUUUCGUGACUUUUCUAGCUUAUUGUGACUUCUUGGAGUCCUUGGAUUGUGGUCACAUCCCUCUAACCUCUGCUUCUGUCUUUAUAUUGCGUUCUCCUUUCUGUGAAAUCUGUUUUCCUCUUAGACGGACAAUUGUAAUGACAUUUAGACCCAAUAAAGUCAUCUGAAAUUAUCUCAUCAUCUCAAGUUCCUUAACUUAGGCACAUUCACUAAGACCCUUUUUCCGAAUAAGGAAACGUUUAGAGAUUCCAGGGAUUCGAAUACAUAUAUGUUUGUGGGGGCAUAUUUCAGGCUAUCAUAGGUGUCCUCUUAGGAUUGAUGUUACAGUGACUGGCAUAUUUAACGAAUUCAGUAACCUUCCUAUAUUUUUAUCUUUCCCUUCUCUUCCUCCAAACCUCCAUAACA